GGCUACCAUGCAGUCGAGCGCACUCUUCGGAGUGAGCGGCGGACGGGUUAGUAACGCGUGGGAACGUGCCCUUCUCUAAGGAAUAGCCACUGGAAACGGUGAGUAAUACCUUAUACGCCCUUCGGGGGAAAGAUUUAUCGGAGAAGGAUCGGCCCGCGUUAGAUUAGAUAGUUGGUGGGGUAAUGGCCUACCAAGUCUACGAUCUAUAGCUGGUUUUAGAGGAUGAUCAGCAACACUGGGACUGAGACACGGCCCAGACUCCUACGGGAGGCAGCAGUGGGGAAUCUUGGACAAUGGGCGCAAGCCUGAUCCAGCCAUGCCGCGUGAGUGAUGAAGGCCUUAGGGUCGUAAAGCUCUUUCGCCAGAGAUGAUAAUGACAGUAUCUGGUAAAGAAACCCCGGCUAACUCCGUGCCAGCAGCCGCGGUAAUACGGAGGGGGUUAGCGUUGUUCGGAAUUACUGGGCGUAAAGCGCACGUAGGCGGAUCAGAAAGUAUAGGGUGAAAUCCCAGGGCUCAACCCUGGAACUGCCUUGUAAACUCCUGGUCUUGAGUUCGAGAGAGGUGAGUGGAAUUCCGAGUGUAGAGGUGAAAUUCGUAGAUAUUCGGAGGAACACCAGUGGCGAAGGCGGCUCACUGGCUCGAUACUGACGCUGAGGUGCGAAAGUGUGGGGAGCAAACAGGAUUAGAUACCCUGGUAGUCCACAC
rnacentral:rRNA from 1 species